AGGACGAACGCUGGCGGCGUGCCUAACACAUGCAAGUCGAACGAAGCUCUGCGAUACAAGACUUCGGUCAAGUUGAACGGAUGACUUAGUGGCGGACGGGUGAGUAACGCGUGAGGAACCUGCCUUUCAGUGGGGGACAACAGUUGGAAACGACUGCUAAUACCGCAUAAGAUUACAGUACCGCAUGAUACAGUGAUCAAAGGAGCAAUCCGCUGAAAGAUGGGCUCGCGUCCGAUUAGAUAGUUGGUGAGGUAACGGCUCACCAAGUCGACGAUCGGUAGCCGGACUGAGAGGUUGAACGGCCACAUUGGGACUGAGACACGGCCCAGACUCCUACGGGAGGCAGCAGUGGGGAAUAUUGCACAAUGGGCGAAAGCCUGAUGCAGCAACGCCGCGUGAGGGAAGACGGUUUUCGGAUUGUAAACCUCUGUUUUCGGUGACGAACAAAUGACGGUAACCGAGUAGGAAGCCACGGCUAACUACGUG
rnacentral:rRNA from 1 species